GAUGAACGCUAGCGGCAGGUUUAAUACAUGCAAGUCGAGGGACAGCACAGGUAGCAAUACUGGGUGGUAACCGGCAAACGGGUGCGGAACACGUACACAACCUUCCUUUAAGUGGGGAAUAGCCCAGAGAAAUUUGGAUUAAUACCCCGUAAUAUAGUUGAAUGGCAUCAUUUGAUUAUUAUAGCUACGGCGCUUAAUGAUGGGUGUGCGGCUGAUUAGAUAGUUGGCGGGGUAACGGCCCACCAAGUCUACGAUCAGUAGCUGAUGUGAGAGCAUGAUCAGCCACACGGGCACUGAGACACGGGCCCGACUCCUACGGGAGGCAGCAGUAAGGAAUAUUGGUCAAUGGACGCAAGUCUGAACCAGCCAUGCCGCGUGAAGGAUUAAGGUCCUCUGGAUUGUAAACUUCUUUUAUUUGGGACGAAAAAGGGCCUUUCUAGGUCAACUGACGGUACCAGAUGAAUAAGCACCGGCUAACUCCGUGCCAGCCGCCGCGGUAACAC
rnacentral:rRNA from 1 species